rnacentral:rRNA from 1 species
AACGAACGCUGGCGGCAGGCCUAACACAUGCAAGUCGAACGCUCUAGCAAUAGAGAGUGGCAGACGGGUGAGUAACGCGUGGGAACCUUCCCUGUGGUGCGGAAUAACUCGCCGAAAGGCGUGCUAAUACCGCAUAAGCCCGCAAGGGGAAAGAUUUAUCGCCAUAGGAUGGGCCCGCGUAGGAUUAGCUAGUUGGUGAGGUAAUGGCUCACCAAGGCGACGAUCCUAGCUGGUUUGAGAGAAUGACCAGCCACACUGGGACUGAGACACGGCCCAGACUCCUACGGGAGGCAGCAGUGGGGAAUCUUGGACAAUGGGCGCAAGCCUGAUCCAGCCAUGCCGCGUGAGUGACGAAGGCCUUC